GUGACGAAGCGACGCCGCGUGUGGGAAGAAGGCCUUCGGGUUGUAAACCACUGUCGGGAGUUAGGAAAUGUAAGGGUGCUAAUAGUAUCCUUACUUGACUAAGGCUCCGGAGGAAGCCACGGCUAACUCUGUGCCAGCAGCCGCGGUAAUACAGAGGCGGCAAGCGUUGUUCGGAAUUAUUGGGCGUAAAGAGCACGUAGGCGGCCUUGUAAGUCAGUUGUGAAAGCCUUCUGCUUAACGGAAGAACAGCAGCUGAUACUGCAAGGCUAGAGUGCGGAAGGGGAGAGUGGAACUUCUGGUGGAGCGGUGAAAUGCGUAGAUAUCAGAAGGAACACCGGCGGCGAAGGCGACUCUCUGGUCCGUAACUGACGCUGAGUGUGCGAAAGCUAGGGGAGCAAACGGGAUUAGAUACCCCGGUAGUCCUAGCCGUAAACGAU
rnacentral:rRNA from 2 species